rnacentral:rRNA from 1 species
AACGAACGCUGGCGGCAGGCCUAACACAUGCAAGUCGAGCGAAGCCUUCGGGCUUAGCGGCGGACGGGUGAGUAACGCGUGGGAACGUGCCCUUUGCUACGGAAUAGCCCCGGGAAACUGGGAGUAAUACCGUACGUGCCCUUCGGGGGAAAGAUUUAUCGGCAAAGGAUCGGCCCGCGUUGGAUUAGGUAGUUGGUGGGGUAAUGGCCUACCAAGCCGACGAUCCAUAGCUGGUUUGAGAGGAUGAUCAGCCACACUGGGACCGAGACACGGCCCAGACUCCUACGGGAGGCAGCAGUGGGGAAUCUUAGACAAUGGGGGAAACCCUGAUCUAGCCAUGCCGCGUGAUCGAUGAAGGCCUUGGGGUUGUAAAGAUCUUUCAGUGGGGAAGAUAAUGACUGUACCCACAGAAGAAGCCCCGGCUAACUCCGUGCCAGCAGCCGCGGUAACAC